AUGUAAGGAACGGGAGCAACAAGGUAAAUCAUGUUUUGCCCUGAUUGUGGGACUCCAGUGGAAACGUCGUUUAGAUUCUGUCCUGGAUGUGGAUUCAAGUUACAUGCCUUGACUCAAACCAAGACCCAAGAUGUGGAUACGUCAGCACGUCAACCCUCAGUCACUGCUGAGGAGAAGAAGCAGAAAGAGGAUCAGGACCAGCUUCCAGAAGGAGUUAAAGACCAACCAGAAGAUG